rnacentral:tRNA from 1 species
GAGGGUAUAGCUCAGUGGCAGAGCACAUGCUUAGCAUGCAUGAGGUCCUGGAUUCAAUCCCCAGCACCUCCA